GCCAGACUCCUACGGGAGGCAGCAGUGGGGGAUAUUGCACAAUGGGGGGAACCCUGAUGCAGCGACGCCGCGUGGGUGAAGGAGCGUUUCGGUGCGUAAAGCCCUAUCGGCAGGGAAGAAGGAGGACGGUACCUGACUAAGAAGCCCCGGCUAACUACGUGCCAGCAGCCGCGGUAAUACGUAGGGGGCAAGCGUUAUCCGGAUUUACUGGGUGUAAAGGGGGCGCAGACGGCAGCGCAAGCCAGGAGUGAAAGCCCGGGGCCCAACCCCGGGACUGCUCUUGGAACUGCGCGGCUGGAGUGCAGGAGGGGCAGGCGGAAUUCCUGGUGUAGCGGUGAAAUGCGUAGAUAUCAGGAGGAACACCGGUGGCGAAGGCGGCCUGCUGGACUGCGACUGACGUUGAGGCCCGAAAGCGUGGGGAGCAAACAGGAUUAGAUACCCGAGUAGC
rnacentral:rRNA from 1 species